rnacentral:lncRNA from 1 species
UUUGGAGAGGUUCUCUGUUUAGGUCCCUGUCAUGGUUUUUCAUAUGCUAGUUUGGUGUCAGUUUUCUUUUCUGAACUAGUUUGUUUACGCUUAAAUCAUUUUCGAAUCAGUUUGGUUAAGCAUGAUUUCAAAUCAGCUUGUUCAAUUUUAAAUCUACUAUUACUGGUGAUAUUUAUCCUUAGAUUCAUUCUCUUGUAUCAAGCUUGUGAGCCUGCUGAAAAUAUGCCAUGUGUGAACUGAUUAUGAAGCAAAUCUGCACGGUUUAAG